rnacentral:snoRNA from 1 species
GCUGCUCAGUGAAGAGGCCCCGGAAUGAGCGCUGGGCACGGCGCCCGAGUCAGUGUGGAAGUAUUCCUCCCUGCCUUCUGAGAACAGC